rnacentral:rRNA from 1 species
UACGGGGGGGGCAAGCGUUGUUCGGAAUUACUGGGCGUAAAGGGCUCGUAGGCGGCCAACUAAGUCAGACGUGAAAUCCCUCGGCUCAACCUGGGGGCUGCGUUUGAUACGUGCGGACUUGAGUGCGGAAGAGGGUCGUGGAAUUCCCAGUGUAGAGGUGAAAUUCGUAGAUAUUGGGAAAGAACACCGGUGGCGAAGGCGGCGACCUGGUCCGAUACUGACGCUGAGGCGCGAAAGCGUGGGGAGCAAACAGG